GAAACCAGAUUAGUUGAAAUUAUGGAAGGGCUUUGUGAAGAUAGUGCUUCAGAGUGCCAUGCAAUGGUUGAAGAACAAGAAGAAACGUUAGAAGAAUGGUGGUUUACACACCAGUUUAAAAACGAUGAUAUGAAGAC